rnacentral:rRNA from 1 species
CUGCGAAUGGCUCAUUAAAUCAGUUAUCGUUUAUUUGAUAGUACCUUACCACUUGGAUAACCGUGGUAAUUCUAGAGCUAAUACAUGCUAAAAACCCCGACUUCGGAAGGGGUGUGUUUAUUAGAUAAAAAACCAAUGCCCUUCGGGGCUCUUUGGUGAUUCAUGAUAACCUAACGGAUCGCAUGGCCUUGCGCCGGCGACGGUUCAUUCAAAUUUCUGCCCUAUCAACUUUCGAUGGUAAGGUAUUGGCUUACCAUGGUUUCAACGGGUAACGGGGAAUUAGGGUUCGAUUCCGGAGAGGGAGCCUGAGAAACGGCUACCACAUCCAAGGAAGGCAGCAGGCGCGCAAAUUACCCAAUCCCGACACGGGGAGGUAGUGACAAUAAAUACUGAUAUAGGGCUCUUUUGGGUCUUGUAAUUGGAAUGAGUACAAUUUAAACCCCUUAACGAGGAACAAUUGGAGGGCAAGUCUGGUGCCAGCAGCCGCGGUAAUUCCAGCUCCAAUAGCGUAUAUUAAAGUUGUUGCAGUUAAAAAGCUCGUAGUUGAAACUUGGGUCUGGCUAGCGGGUCCGCCUCACCGCGUGCACUUGUCCGGCUGGACCUUUCCUUCUGGAGAACCUCAUGCCCUUCACUGGGUGUGUUGGGGAACCAGGACUUUUACUUUGAAAAAAUUAGAGUGUUCAAAGCAGGCCUUUGCUCGAAUACGUUAGCAUGGAAUAAUAGAAUAGGACGUGCGGUCCUAUUUUGUUGGUUUCUAGGAUCGCCGUAAUGAUUAAUAGGGAUAGUCGGGGGCAUCAGUAUUCAAUUGUCAGAGGUGAAAUUCUUGGAUUUAUUGAAGACUAACUACUGCGAAAGCAUUUGCCAAGGAUGUUUUCAUUAAUCAGUGAACGAAAGUUAGGGGAUCGAAGACGAUCAGAUACCGUCGUAGUCUUAACCGUAAACUAUGCCGACUAGGGAUCGGGCGAUGUUUCUAUCUUGACUCGCUCGGCACCUUACGAGAAAUCAAAG